rnacentral:ncRNA from 1 species
UCGCCCAGAAUCUGUUCAAACGGUUUCAACACGGAUGCGUUCGGACGCGCGGUGAUUUUUACUUGCUGCCUUCCGUCGGUCGGCGUCUGCCGAAGCUCUAAAUGGGGCAUCUCUGUUGGGAUCAUUGUUCGGUUUGUAGCCGUUCAAUGUAUUCCACAUUUGGUCUCCUCGCGCUAACCCCGUAGCGUGUGGUUUUUAGCAGGCUCCAGGCCUGCUUUUUUUU